AAUAAACCUCCUUAUUUAUUAUUCUUGAUUAUCUUAGUAGAGCUGGAAAUGAAGAAAAUUUUUCUCGGUGAACUAAAGGCUUCCAAGUUUACUCAAUCAAGAACUUUCAAGGACAAGAAAUUACCAAAAGGAUUUUCUCAUCAUCUCCAUAGUCUGUUGAUGUAUCUUAGAAACAAAAAGCUUGAGAAAUUUCCUAAUAAUAACUCUCCUCAAAAU
rnacentral:misc_RNA from 1 species